AAUGCAGUGUUUCUUAUGACAGGGGACUCAGAGCAGCAUUACUUUGAGGGUUUACUGGUAAAUUUAGGUGUAUAUUUAAGUCUUAUAAGGCUUACUUAGUUUUAACCUUUCCUUCUCCUUUAACAUCCGAAAUUCCAUUUUUUUUAAACCAGAAAAUUCAGCUCUUCUAGUGCCAGAGAAUGCAAUUCCACUCGAUGCACCAGUCCCUGGACCCCCUCCUGCAUGGGAAAGGCCUAGACACCCUUCAGCAGCGACUUUCAACAACUAUACUUGGGUGCACUGGUGAUUGUGGGGCUUUCUGGCGUGAUUUAUCACUUGCAUUACACAGAGGCUACACUAUG